CAGUCCGCAUGUUCGUGGUGCCCCAUUUUUUUCUGGAAUAUGUUGAGCAAACCUGGAGAAGCUUCAGCUCAAGAUAUUAUUGUUGUCAUUGCUGUGGAUCUUUACCCGAUACACCGAUUUGGUACUUUAUACUCACAACAUGAGGGAAGCAGCUGAAAAUCAUUAAAGAGGAUGGUCUGAACAUAACAUGACACAGGUCGCCUUCCUCAGCACCUGCCUCCAUCAGACUCCUCUCACUGGACAUGGAUCACAGUCCUUAAAAUAUUAACAUCUGGGAUUGUUUUCCUUUUGGACUGAAAACUGAGGAGAGAACCAGAAGAUGAAGAGACUGGAGCAACAAAACUGUUCAGUCAAACUGGUGUCAUACCACCAUGCAAAGAGAGAAUUAUUGAAUUUUAUUUUAUUUUAUGUUUUUUUCAUUUAUUUUUGCAUGUGUGUUGUUGCUGCCUGUGUUUAAUUGAGUGGGAGACACUUGCUGCUGCCUAUUUUGGCCAGGUCUCCCUUGAAAAUAGGUUUUUAAUGUCAAAGGGAUCUUCCUGGUUAAAUAGAGGUUAAAUUAAAAAUAAAUUAAAAUUACCCCACUGUCU
ensembl:lncRNA